GUGAGAGUGCUGUGAGAGUGCUGAGAGUGUGAUGGGUGUGAGAGUGUUGUGUGAGAGAGUGCUGUGUGUGAUGGGUGUGAGAGUGCUGUGUGUGAUGGGUGAGAGAGUGCUGUGUGUAAUGGGUGAGAGAGUGCUGUGUGUAAUGGGUGAGAGAGUGCUGUGUGUAAUGGGUGAGAGAGUGCUGUGUGUGAUGGGUGAGAGUGCUGUGUGUGAUGGGUGAGAGUGCUGUGUGUGAUGGGUGAGAGUGCUGUGUGUGAUGGGUGAGAGUGCUGUGUGUAAUGUGUGUGAGAG